AUUAAAAACCACAUCCAAGGACAAAAUGUACUAUAAUGAAAUAGUAUAAUAACAAGCUACGGAAGCAUGAAAAUAUGAAACCACCAAAGCAAAAUACUAUCAACCAAUCAGAAGCUCUCAACUUGUACCAUAACUCAAUAAGCUCUUUCACCAUCACAUGCAAAAGAAUUACACUUUAAACCUCAAACAACUUAAAGGAUUUAAAAUCCAUUGUUAGAUUGGAUAAUCAAAUUUCUUUGAUUUUGAACUCAACUAACUCCUAGACAUCGACUUUAUUUGUUUUUGUUGUUCAAAUUUGAACAAAUAACUCUUGUUUUCUUCAUAAACCAUCUUAGGACAAAUCCAUAUUGAAAAAAUAACUCUUUUUUUCAUAAACCAUCUUAGGACAAAUCCAUAUUGAACAAAUAACCUUUUUUAAAAAAGAACAAAGAACUGUGCACCUAAUGCACCAAGGACAUUCAUGUGGGCAUUGGAGCAACCAACCAUAUUCUCCUUCAUCGCGACACACCGGCAAGGUCACGGUGGUGGCCGAUGCAUUAGUGGAUAGCGGUUGCAUGUGGUGGACGACAGUGACGGAUCCAAGACCUAAGUUAUUGCAGAAAAGGAUGGUGAAGUUGGUGGAGAAACGUUCCGUACGAUAUUGUGUUAUUCCUCAUCAGUAGUUUGAGGCGCUGUAUAGAUUUGAUGAGACACAUUUGUUGAAUAGUCAACAUUUUGAAAAGAAGCACUUGGAAUGCUAGAACACAAAAAACGUGGUUUUGAAAAGUUUUCUAUCCUAUCAGGUAGAUGUAUCCUUGAGGGUAGUUUUGAGGUGCUUUCAGGGUCAACAAUAUUGAUGAAGGAACCAGCAUCAGAAUGUCUAGCACUGGAAGUUCUUGAAAUCUUAAUUUUACCCUUCCAUCAUUGUAUUGGAUAAUUUCCCUCAAAUGAGUGUUUGGUUUUGAGUGUUCAGGAGACUUGGGUUUAACUGUUCCUUCAAGUAUCCAUUCUUUAGGAAGCUCUAUGUCUUUCCAAAUGAUAGUUCUUUAAAUAACAGUGUUUGAUUUUGAUAGAUCUUUUUGUAAAAAUAGUGUUUCACCCUUUUUUAUUUUCAACAUUUUUUGUUGCCAUACAGGCUGAGAACAUAACUUCGUAAUGUACUCUAUAAAUGAUAGCUAUAUGAAUAAGUUCUGCUAGCAUCUUGUAAUUAUGAGUUUUGAUUUUCAAAACAAGAGAUUUUAAUA